UACGGAGGGUGCAAGCGUUAUCCGGAUUCACUGGGUUUAAAGGGUGCGUAGGCGGGCAGGUAAGUCCGUGGUGAAAUCUCUGAGCUUAACUCAGAAACUGCCAUGGAUACUAUUUGUCUUGAAUGUUGUGGAGGUAAGCGGAAUAUGUCAUGUAGCGGUGAAAUGCUUAGAUAUGACAUAGAACACCAAUUGCGAAGGCAGCUUACUACACAAAUAUUGACGCUGAGGCACGAAAGCGUGGGGACCAAACAGG
rnacentral:rRNA from 1 species